rnacentral:lncRNA from 1 species
GAGUAACAUUGCUGGAACCAUAUCAGCGGAUGGUUGGUUUUUCGUGCAAGGGCAAGAUAUGAUUGCUAAUUUCUGCAGCCUUUUAUCAUUCUCUUUAUUAUUGUAGCAUUUUUGCAAAUAGCUUUUUUCAAGUCCUCAAAAGCAUCUUUUUCACUUGCGUCAAGGGAUUUUCUUGUCAAUAUUUGGUAGGACUCUCGAUAUUUAUGGUGAGAUCAGGAUAAAGGCAUUUGCAACUUGGGGACUCAAUAAGGUUUUGUCCCUGGGCUUUGGCACAUCUUGAGGGAGGAGUGUACUUCUAUCCUUUAUAAGGCAGAGUUAUCAAUGCACGAUUUUGUCCCUAGGCUUUAACCCAAAAGGCAUCUUUU